rnacentral:rRNA from 2 species
CGAGCGAACCGGGAAGAGCUCAAAUUUGAAAUCUGGCGUCCUCCGGGCGUCCGAGUUGUAAUCUAUAGAGACGUUUUCCGUGCCGGACCGUGUCCAAGUCCCUUGGAACAGGGUAUCAAAGAGGGUGACAAUCCCGUACUUGACACGACCACCGGUGCUCUGUGAUACGUCCUCUACGAGUCGAGUUGUUUGGGAAUGCAGCUCAAAACGGGUGGUAAACUCCAUCUAAAGCUAAAUAUUGGUGGGAGACCGAUAGCGAACAAGUACCGUGAGGGAAAGAUGAAAAGCACUUUGGAAAGAGAGUUAAACAGUAUGUGAAAUUGUUGAAAGGGAAACGAUUGAAGUCAGUCGUGUCCAUUGGACUCAGCCGGUUCUGCCGGUCUACUUCCUUUGGACGGGUCAACAUCGGUUUUGGCCGACGGAUAAUGGCGGUUGGAAAGUAGCACCCCUCGGGGUGUGUUAUAGCCUCCCGUCGCACACGUCGGCCGAGACCGAGGAACGCAGCUCGCCCUCGUGGCAGGGGUUCGCCCUCUUCCGAGCUUAGG